rnacentral:lncRNA from 1 species
AAUCUGAUCAAGAGCUCUAAGUUGGAACCUUUGUUUCAUACCUGAGCCAUUUUGAUCUAGAUUAGCAUUCGGGGACCCUCCGGUGAUGUAGCCCCUAUUUGAUUGAUGGUUGAAACUAACGAUCUGGCGCGGUAUGGCUUGUUUUCCGCUGCAUUAGGCACCAAGGUCAUCCAGGGUUCGGGGAAUGUGACUCUUACCUGGACAAGUCACAGUCCUUGAAUUCAUGUUUCUGUUUGAAUUUGUAAUGUUUAGACAAGUUUAUGGUUGUUGGGUGUUAACCCGUUAAGACAAUGUUCCGAUAUUUUUAUUUUUAAUUUUAAUGGAUGAUCUU